UGUAAACAUUAAUUUUCUUUCUUCAGUCUUAUUUUAUAGUUGUUGUUCUUUUAAAUAUGGUGCGUUGAGCACAUUCCUUAAACUUCCUUUUUCCCAGUGUCCCACUGAUAUUUUAAUGAUUGAAUUAAACCACAAUUCUGAAAAGCAGGAACAGAUGUUACCAUAUUAGUCAACUACCUUAAAGAGGAACAAAAGGACCUCAUUAGGUCUGUGAGUUUAAUGUAUGUUAGCAUGUGUGUGGGGAAGGAGGGGAGAAGAUCCAACCUAGGUGUGGAUAAAUCCGGAUUUGAAUGAUGUCAUCAGCGCUGUUUCUCCCAACAUUUUUAGUCUCUCUUUUCUUCUGUUUUAGCUUUGUUUUCAGCCAGGCAAUGAUGGCUGCCAAAGGAAAGGGGAUGGGAUAUUCUAGCCAGACCUGAGUCAUGUUGCCACCCCUGUUGGGUUGGGAAGAAUCACCUCCUAAAUCACAUGGAAUGUUUUCCCCACAGACAAGAGGGAUUAUGUUACUAGAAAAAGGGGGUGGGGAGAAAGCAUGUUGAACAGUAAAAUUACAGUUCACAGUCCACUACAGGUACCAUCAGAGGACCAGAAAUUUUGAAGAAGAUAGAAAGUUCACCGGAUCGGAUUGACAGCAUAAUCUCAGAAGGAACGGAACCCAAGAUACCAGAGACAGGGAUAAUCAGACAAUUGAGGAGAAUCAAGAUGGAAGAGGAUUAAGAUGAAUAAAGAACAACUGAUGUCAGAUAUAAUUCGAAGAAAACUUCAAAGAAAAACUGUAAUUGGUAUUUCAUUUAAGGUAUAAGAACAUGUUGCAAUCAUUAAUCAUAAUUUCACUGAAAAAGGGGCAGAGAACCAGAAGAGAUUUUGAAAAUUAUAAAAGAAAAAUUUUAAUGGAUUAGCUAAAUAACAAUUUAGCAUGAAUUAAGACUGAGUGGUGAUUUGGAGCUAAAGAGCAAAUCUCUGCAUAUAUGAAGCAAAAAAAAAAAAAAAAGAAAGAAAAAAACAAGAAAAAUAAAGAGAUAUGGAGAAUACCUCACAAAGUUUUCACAUCUGUAAGUUUGAAAAUACGAGUUCUAGAAGCAGAGAACAGGAACAGUGGGAAGGAGAAAAAUAAUGAAAGAAAUAAUUGAAGAAAAUGUCAUGAGCUGGAGAAACAUAAUGAAUUUCAGAUUGAAAGAGCCCAAGCAGGAUGAAUGGAAAAAGAGUUACAUCUAGACACAUCUGGUAAAAUUUCAGAACUCUAAGGAUAAACAGAAAAUCCCCAAUUAUUGCCAGAGAAAGGGAGUAAAAAA